GAGUUAACUUUUCUUCCUAGUAGCUGGUACAAUGCCGUGGUUUGGAUUGAGGAUGAGAAUAAUAUUGACAACACACUGAUGUUUUAGUUGUUGCUAAGUAGUGCUUACACUAAGUCAAGGACUUUUCUGCUUUGCACACCACCCCACCAGCGAAAAGACUGGGAAGCACAAGAGGCUGGAAGGAGACACAGCCAGAACAGCUGAUCCCAACUGACCAAAGGGAUUUCCAUACCAUGUGUUGUUGUGCUUAGUACAUGAACUAGGGGUAAAGCUGACUAGGGGCUGCUGUUUGCAAACUGACUGAGCACUGUUCGGCGGGUGAACCUUCCCAUGGAAGCAGCAAGUCAGAAAUUGGAGUUUGACAGCAAGCUGUCUCUGAUUUGCUUUCCUCAAGGAUUAUAAAAGGUGGAUAUGAUUCUGCAACACUUUGAAUUAUGCCCUCUUUAGGAACCUUCACUUCCACCUGCCACGUUAUAUUGCAGCAUGUAGAAUGUGAAAAUGAAUCUACACAGCUAUUGCUCCUUUUGUGCUGAGGAAAGCUUUUUUAUUUGCACAGCUCUAGCUAGAAUGGCACACUCUUUGCAGAAGCUAAACAUUGAAAAUAUUUCUUAACAUAAUUCUUAACAUAACACUUGUUUCUGCUGCUGUUUUUAAUAACUUUCAAAACAUUCCUCUAUUUAUUUAUUUCUGCUUCCCUUCUGUCAACUUAUGACUUGGAGGUACUCUGUGGGAAAUGAAGAUUUUCUGUGUGUCUCCUAGAAGGACAGUUUUUAUUAUAGCCACCUCAAUGAACGUAAAAUUAUUGAAAUAAAGAUGAAUUUUUAAAAGAUUAGGUGGAAUUUUUAAAUACAUUUUCUGAAGGUAUCAAGUAACUGCUAUUUCAAAAGAUUAUUCAAGUAAUAGUAAAUAACCUUUUUAAUGUCAUUAAAAAAAAAAGAAGAAAGAAGAAAAUACUAUACUGCAAUACAAAGAUCAAAGACAAUAAACCAUUCACUUACUCAGCACUGCUAAGUCUAUGGGUGGAGUAUGGCUUUCUGUUUCCAGCUUUACAUUUCAUUAAUCAUUAUGGAUCAACUGCAGGAUCCCAGAGAACAUCUAGAACUACCAAAGAGUGAAAAAAAUUUUAUUUUUUUACCAUUAAGUAGAAAAGAUUGAUCCCAGUCUUCAAAAUACGUAAGACUAUUAGAGAGUCAACCUUUAUGUUUAUCUAGAAAAAAUUACUAAUUUUCACCAAACUAUUAGGGAAAAAUUACUAGUAAAGUAUUUCCUUAACAAUUUUCAAAAGAUAGUUGGAAAAGGGGACAGCAAACAAUGCUGCAGAUGACAAUUUAAUUCAAAGAGGCUCAGCUAACACUCCAGUUUCUGAGAUAGGGCAAUACCAGGCUGUUUCAGCUCUAUAUAUCCAUAGUUUUAUAAAAAAACUCCAGGCAACUCCAAACUCCAUUAAACAUCAUUCAAAAACAAGUUGUAUAUGCUACUAAAUUAAUGCUACAUGAGACAAUACAAGAGAAAUAUUUUCUGUUCUGUAAGCAAGUACUGUUAUGCUCUAUCUGCUCCCUGGUGCAGAGGGACAAUAAAGUAGCAAUAGCUUUGUUUUCAUAUCUUCAGAAUAAUAUUUGUGAUUAGUGCUUUAAAAUGAAAAAGUGAGAAGAAGCUGUAGUAUUAAUUCCUUUAUUUAUAAUCCAUUCCAUUUUCCGCUUGCCUGAAGCAUGGGUAAUUUGAUAGGCAUCUUUUAAUUUGUAAUUAGUCUUCAGGAAGGACUGUUUUCUGAUGCUUUAAGCAAUGCACUAUUUAUUAAUUUGUGUUCUCUCACUUUAUCCAGUGUUUACGCACUAUGGACCAGAUUCAGUACCCACUGAGAUGUAAUUGUAAAUGAGUUCAGCAUUUAGCUCAUUUGGCUUUCUUAUAUUUUUGAACACAUAAAACAAGAUAAAUUAUAACUGGAUAUGUUUAGUUUACACCCUAUCUUCUCCGCCUGGCUUGCAGAUAAUUCUUACAGAAAGGAAAACAUCUACAGGAGUUAUUUUUUUGCUUCAUUGAUGUAGAAAGUAGUGGCAGCCACGUAUAGCUGUUGGCAGCAGGGGAAGCAUGGCUACAGCCAUAUUCACUGAGGCUCAUUUCAUCUAGAUAUAAGAAAGAAAUUUUUUACAGUGAGAACAAUCAGUCCUUAGAACCUCCCCAGUGAUGUCCUAGAGUCCCUGUCUCUGGAGGUUUUCAAGACAAGGUGCUAGAUACUCUUGUUUAGGCUCCCUUUCCCACAAAAAAAAAGUUGGACCAGAUGGUCCUUCAAGAUCCCUUCUAACUGUUUUAUGGUUCUAUUAAUAAAUAUGUUUUAAAAGAAAGGUGGUGAGAGAGAAAGGAAAAAGUGGUAUCAUAGAGGCAUAUUUCUUUUCAGCAGUAUUUUGUAAUGCUUUUUUUUCUAGGUUUCCUGUAUUUUUAUCCUCUUUCUCGCAAUAAAAGUGAUUUGAACAGUUCUUAUUUAUUGUUUUAGCUAAACGUAAAAUUAAAUUCUAAAAUCUUACUUUAUGCUAUAUGCUUCCUGUCUGUACUUUUAAGCCGUUGUUUGGUUUCCUCACUAUGAAUUGUCCCUGAACAUUCUGGAUUUCUUACAUUACAUUUUCAGCUACUUUUCUGAGUGUUCAGUCUGAAUGACCCCAUAGAAAGAUCUUGUAGACGGAUCUUGUACUUGGUAUUCUAAGACAUAUGUUUUGCUAUCUAUGGCUUUUUAAUGGUCUGUGGUUGAGAUUUCAACUAAACUGUUCAUUAUGUCAAAUACUGGAAACAAAAUGAGGUCAAGAUUACUUGGAUGGCAGUUGUAGGAAUAUAGCAGGAGAGAUGCAUUGUCAUGUGUGGUUUAGUCAUUUUUUUCUUUCCCAACUCAUGGGUGAAAUGCAAAAGUAGUUCCAGUGUUAGGUAGCAUAGGGAGAACUCUCAAACUAUUAUUUCCUAUUUACCAGCAAGACUUCUUUAUUGUACUUGUUGCAUACGGUACAGCUAUUAAUCAUGACUUUGCUUGUGUAGCACUGCCUUAUAAAAUGAGAACUUCAAUGUAUUGUUUUCCAGUAUAAUGCACUGUUAGAAAACGCACUAUUGUGAGUUCCACUAGAUAUUAAAUAACAGCCUGCAUAUCUUUAAGAACUUCAAGAGAGAAUUUAAUCAUCUCAAAAGUAUUGUAACUCUGAGAUAAGAGAUAACAUAAACUGUUAUGUUAUAUAUCUAUGUGUAAAUAGAACAAAGCUGAAAUAUCUGGUGAUAGAUAAGGAAAUUUGGAGUUAAGGUUUUAAGCAAUCAUUAUUUAAUGUUUUAAGCAAUCAUUAUUUAGUUAUUAUCUUCAUACAAGCUUCUUUAGCAGACAGUCAUUUACCACAGUGAAAUAUUUUUUGAAACUUGAUAGAUUUUAUAGAGAUUUCCUUGGUUUUAAACCCUGAAGGUGUUUUAAAUCAUCUUAUCCGACCUCCAGUAUGACACAGGUCAUUGCACU